rnacentral:rRNA from 1 species
UACGUAGGGAGCAAGCGUUGUUCGGAUUUACUGGGCGUAAAGGGCGCGUAGGCGGUCAGCACAAGUCAGUUGUGAAAUCUCCGAGCUUAACUCGGAAAGGUCAACUGAUACUGUGCGACUAGAGUGCAGAAGGGGCAACUGGAAUUCUCGGUGUAGCGGUGAAAUGCGUAGAUAUCGAGAGGAACACCUGCGGCGAAGGCGGGUUGCUGGGCCGACACUGACGCUGAUGCGCGAAAGCCAGGGGAGCGAACGGG